UUACCUGGGCUAGACAACGGUGGACCGUCCUAGAAAUAGGAUUUUCCCUUCGGGGACUGCCGGUUCAGGUGCUGCAUGGCUGUCGUCAGCUCGUGCCGUGAGGUGUUGGGUUAAGUCCGCAACGAGCGCAACCCUCGUCCUUAGUUGCCACCAUUCAGUUGGGCACUCUAAGGAGACUGCCGGCGUUAAGCCGGAGGAAGGUGGGGACGACGUCAAGUCAUCAUGGCCCUUAUGUCCAGGGCCACACACGUGCUACAAUGGGCGGUACAAAGGGUUGCAAACCCGCGAGGGGGAGCUAAUCCCAAAAAGCCGCUCUCAGUUCGGAUUGGAGUCUGCAACUCGACUCCAUGAAGUUGGAAUCGCUAGUAAUCGCGGAUCAGCACGCCGCGGUGAAUACGUUCCCGGGCCUUGUACACACCGCCCGUCACACCAUGGAAGCCAGCUGUACCGGAAGUCGGUGCGUCAACCCGCAAGGGAGGUAGCCGCCUAUGGUAUGACUGGUGACUGGGGUGAAGUCGUAACAAGGUAGGCGUAGCGAG
rnacentral:rRNA from 1 species